CCGGGGGGUUAUGUACUCUUGAUAAUAUGAGUCGAGUAUGAACAUAGCUUUGCGCAAUCGAUCCAUUCGAAACUAUUGAUAGUAUUGUACUGUUGCUGGUUUUUGCUGAAGAUUGGCGGUGCAGAACACCAUAGUCAUCAUGGGCAAUGCCUUUGAAAUGCGAAGGAUUUCUAUUGUCGGCACGGGGGCCAUAGUUGGUCUGGCGGCCUAUGGGCACUUUACCAGAGAGAGCUUCGAGAAAGAGUUGAAGGCCAACCCGAAAUAUGCAAAGUAUAUGCUGGACGAUGCCCAGGCCACAGAGGCUGUCAAGAACAUUAAAGACUCGGCCUUAAGCGGUCGCCCAGCAUGGGCAGGUGCGGCGAAAUACACUGACGAGCAGAAGGCCAAAGUUGCUGAGGCGCGAGAGAAGCGGCUAGGGAGAAAGGAGUGAACUGUACAUGUACUUGAGGAAUGUCCAUGUGACCUUGUUACGUACUGCACUGUUAUCGAUUGUCAGAGAGAUCGUAGUUGCGGCUUCUACACUCGUGCAGUCAUGGUGACCGCUAGUCGUAUCCAGCUGUCAGUGUCAAACCCUAUCCGGCAAGUACGGCUUUGCGCGCGCACAGAGUGGAAUGGAGACUUUAAAAAUGCAAGCUGUGCCACGCCGGGUCCUACGAUGCAAGAGCGUUGGCAGUGCACUUUCCCGUGUCAGCGUCAGCAAGCUCAAGCGCUCAUGCUGCAUGGCAUAUGCUCUCUAUGUGUGUGCUGGGUGCCAGCAGGUGCUCAUGUAGUGCCCUGCCUGCUUCUGCCUUGUAGCACAAUGCAAUUAUUGGCUUCUAUCCUUGUCUGUACAAUCCAACAGAACCUGAAUCAUGGCAAAUAACAUUGCAUUCUGAUGAGUAGAAUGGCGCUAAUGAUGACAGCAAUUUUCAUGCUAGCGAAUGAAGAAGAACAGUGUUCCUCCUUGGGUGCAUACCACUGCCCAUGCUGUUGUGAAAUUUUCCUAUUCUACUUCUUUUUUGAAGUAACUUUAAUAUCGGUAUAAUUGUAUUGCACAGACCCAACUUGAGCGUUGUGCAUGUAGAGAUGUGUGUACAUCUGUGGUGGCAACUGAAAUGUGACCCCUGUAUUUUACGUACGCUUGGUACCGAGCUAAAACGAA